GGAAUUUUUGUCCAUAACUAAAACCGUACGCACUUCAAUCAAUAGUAUAUGCGGUAUUCAAUUGGACCAUAUAAAACUUAUGGUUAACUAUUCCUCUUAAGGAUAUCGUUUCGAAGAUAUCUCCUUAAUAAAGUUAAAAACCAACAGUAGCUCAUA